rnacentral:rRNA from 1 species
AUUGAACGCUGGCGGCAGGCCUAACACAUGCAAGUCGAACGAGUGGCGGACGGGUGAGUGAUGUCUGGGAGACUGCGCGCUGGAGGGGGAUAACUACUGGAAAAGCUAGCUAUUAUCGCGUACCCUCGGAUGUGUCCAGAUGGGAUUAGCUUGUAGGUGAGGGAACGGCUCACCUAGGCGACGAUCCCUAGCUGGUCUGAGAGGAUGACCAGCCACACUGGAACUGAGACACGGUCCAGACUCCUACGGGAGGCAGCAGUGGGGAAUAUUGCACAAUGGGCGCAAGCCUGAUGCAGCCAUGCCGCGUGUAUGAAGAAGGCCUUCGGGUUGUAAAGUACUUUCAGCGGGGAGGCGUUACCCGCAGAAGAAGCACCGGCUAACUCCGUGCCAGCAGCCGCGGUAAUUC